CGCGAAUGGCUCAUUAUAACAGCUAUAAUUUACUUGAUCUUGACACAAUCCUACUUGGAUAACUGUGGUAAUUCUAGAGCUAAUACAUGCAUUAAAGCUCUGACCUCACGGGAAGAGUGCAUUUAUUAGAACAAAACCAAGCGGCCUCGGCUGUUUCUGGUUGACUCAUAGUAACUGAGCUGAUCGCACGGUCUUGCACCGGCGACGUGUCUUUCAAGUAUCUGCCGUAUCAACUUUCGAUGGUAGUGUAUCUGACUACCAUGGUGAUCACGCGUAACGGAGAAUAAGGGUUCGGCUCCGGAGAGUUCGCCUGAGAAAUCGCGAACACAUCUAAGGAAGGCAGCAGGCGCGAAAAUUACCCACUCUCAGCACGAGGAGGUAGUGACGAAAAAUAACGAGACCGUUCUCUUAUGAGGCCGGUCAUCGGAAUGGGUACAAUUUAAACCCUUUAACGAGUAUCUAUGAGAGGGCAAGUCUGGUGCCAGCAGCCGCGGUAAUUCCAGCU
rnacentral:rRNA from 1 species